GGCUUUAUAUUCAAUUAUGAUUUUAGACUGCAAUUCUAAAGGUGUAGAUCUCUUUACUAAGGCCU
rnacentral:tRNA from 1 species